CUUGCUGCUCAGCAGAUAGAAAAAGAAAAUGAUCAAACAGCUACCAAACGUUUUGGCAAACCCCUCUCAGUUUCUGAAUAUCAAAACUUGGAAAAUCUUGCAAAAAAUAUACAUACAGAAAAGAAAAGCCAGUGGGCAGUGCGGAUUUUCGAUACAUGGCAACGUGAAAGGGAUGGGUAACAAAUUAUUAAGUCUUUCUGAUGAGGAUCUGAAUAGAACGCUGAGUCUAUUUGUCACAGAAGUAAGGAACCAAAGGGGAGGUCAAUACAACGGUAACACAAUUCAUGCGAUUCUUAUUUCGAUGCAGAGAUUCAUGCGCCAAAGUGGUCGAGAUGUUAACCUAACCACCGAUUUUGCUUUUAUGGGUUUGAGAACCAUUCUUGAUGCUAAAAUGAAAUCACUGGCCCAGGCUGGUAUUGGCAUGCAUAGAAGGCGAGCUAACGUCAUCACAUCACAGGAGGAGGAUGCAUUGUGGGAGAGGGGUUUGCUUGGGGAUGACACCCCGGAGAAAUUGCUUGAAACCGUUUUUUAUUUGAAUGGGAUAAACUUUUGUUUACGAGGUGGGGAGGAACAUCGUGCUCUAACAGUAGGUGAAUUUUCAAACUUCUGUGUUGUUACAAGAAACAACAAAAACAAUUGGUAUACUCUGAAGGGGUUUCCAAAACGAAUUCAGGAGGGCUGAAACAUAAAAGAUUGUCUGCUAAGGUUAUUUCAGUGGAUAUUAAUGAAGAGAACCCUGCCCAUUGUCCAGUUAGACUUCACCAAAAGUACAUGUCAUUGAGGCCAGUGGGUUGUGAUGACUUUUACCUUCGUCCUCAAGUACCCUAAGCCUAACCAGUGGUACUCUGCCGCUCCUAGUAGGGAGACACGUUCUGUCUGGGGUGGUCAAGAGGCUCUGCGCCAGGGCCGGGUUUGAAGGAUUUUAUACAAACCACUCCCUAAGGGCUACAACGGCCACACGCCUGUAUGAGAGCGGUUUGGAUGAGCAGCUGAUUGCCGAAAGGGCAGGUCUCAGAUCGACAGCUAUUCGUGCGUACAAGAGAACAAGCGAGGGCAUGUUAAAGAGUGUUGAUGAUGUUGUCCAGAGGAAAACACCAGCAACUGCCACAUCAGCGACUAGCUCGCCAACACCUCACGUCUCCGACACCACUGACCCCAAGACGUCAA